rnacentral:rRNA from 1 species
GCUGGCGGCGUGCCUAACACAUGCAAGUCGAACGAGAAAGUGGAGCAAUCCAUGAGUACAGUGGCGACCGGGUGAGUAACACGUGACCAACCUGCCCUCGAGUGGGGAAUAACUCCGGGAAACCGGAGCUAAUACCGCAUAACAUCGCAAGAUCAAAGCCGCAAGGCGCUUGAGGAGGGGGUCGCGGCUGAUUAGCUAGUUGGUAGGGUAAUGGCCUACCAAGGCGAAGAUCGGUAGCCGGCCUGAGAGGGCGCACGGCCACACUGGAACUGAAACACGGUCCAGACUCCUACGGGAGGCAGCAGUGGGGAAUUUUGCGCAAUGGGGGAAACCCUGACGCAGCAACGCCGCGUGGAGGAUGAAGUCCCUUGGGACGUAAACUCCUUUCGACCGGGACGAUACUGACGGUACCGGAAGAAGAAGCACCGGCUAACUCUGUGCCAGCAGCCGCGGUAAUACAGAGGGUGCGAGCGUUGUUCGGAAUUAUUGGGCGUAAAGGGCGCGUANGCGGUGCGGUAAGUCACCUGUGAAAUCUCCUG